rnacentral:rRNA from 1 species
GACGAACGCUGGCGGCGUGCUUAACACAUGCAAGUCGAACGGAAAGGCCCUGCUUUUGUGGUGUGCUCGAGUGGCGAACGGGUGAGUAACACGUGAGUAACCUGCCCUUGACUUUGGGAUAACUUCAGGAAACUGGGGCUCAUACCGGAUAUGAGCUCCUGCUGCAUGUUUGGUGUUGGAAAGUUUCGGCGGUUGGGGAUGGACUCGCGGCUUUUCAGCUUGUUGGUGGGGUAGUGGCUUACCAAGGCUUUGACGGGUAGCCGGCCUGGGAGGGUGACCGGCCACAUUGGGACUGAGAAAGGGCCCAGACUGAUACGGGAGGAAGCAGUGGGGAAUAGUGCAAAAUGGGCGGAAGCCUGAUGCAGCAACGCCGCGUGCGGGAUGACGGCCUUAGGGUUGGAAACCGCUUUCGCCUGUGACGAAGAGUGAGUGACGGUAAUGGGUAAAGAAGCACCGGCUAACUACGUG